rnacentral:rRNA from 1 species
UACGUAGGCAGCAAGCGUUGUUCGGAAUUACUGGGCGUAAAGAGUGUGUAGGCGGUGCUCCAAGUCUGGUGUGAAAUCUCCCGGCUUAACUGGGAGGGUGCAUUAGAAACUGGAAUGCUAGAGGAUGGGAGAGGUAAGCGGAAUUCCUGGUGUAGCGGUGAAAUACGUAGAUAUCAGGAGGAACACCUGUGGUGUAGACAGCUUACUGGACCAUUUCUGACGCUGAGACACGAAAGCGUGGGUAGCAAACAGG